GUAGAGUAGUAGCGGCGACAAAGUGAGACACAACUCAACGAGCAUUCACUCAAAUUUCUAUCAGUGAUUUGUGACAAUACAAAGUCAUAACAGACAACAUGAAGCUACUAUUACUGAUCAUCCUGCUGGUAUGCCUUGCUCUAGUCUAUGUGGACUUAUCAUUUGCAGAAAAUUGUGAAGACUAUCUUUCGUCACCACUUGGUCAAUUUGAUUAUCUUCUGUGUAUGAAAAAAAAAACCCGAACAGUUUUUAGACAACACUUGGGACAACACUUGGGACAACACUUGGGACAACACUUGGGACAACACUUGGGACAACACUUGGGACAACACUUGGGACAACACUUGGGACAACACUUGGGACAACACUUGGGACAUCACUUGGGACAACACUUCGGACAACACUUGGGACAACUUUUUGGACAACACUUGGGACAACACUUGGGACAACACUUUGGACAACA